GACAGAGGCCUCAAGCGUUAGGCGGAAUCACUGGGCUUAAAGCGUGUGUAGGCGGAUCGUUAAGUGUCUUGUGAAAUCCCACGGCUCACCCGUGGAACUGCUGGGCAUACUGGCGAUCUUGGGCCAACUAGGGGCAACUGGAACAAGCGGUGGGGCGGUGAAAUGCGUAGAUAUCGCUUGGAACGCCAAAGGUGAAAACAGGUUGCUGGGGUUGUGCCGACGCUGAGACACGAAAGCCAGGGGGAGCAAACGGG
rnacentral:rRNA from 1 species